AGGACGAACGCUGGCGGCGUGCUUAACGACGAUGCAAGUCGAACGGAAAGGCCCUUCGGGGUACUCGAGUGGCGAACGGGUGAGUAACACGUGGGUGAUCUGCCCUGCACUUUGGGAUAAGCCUGGGAAACUGGGUCUAAUACCGAAUAGGACCACGGCAUGCAUGUGCUGUGGUGGAAAGCUUUUGCGGUGUGGGAUGGGCCCGCGGCCUAUCAGCUUGUUGGUGGGGUGAUGGCCUACCAAGGCGACGACGGGUAGCCGGCCUGAGAGGGUGUCCGGCCACACUGGGACUGAGAUACGGCCCAGACUCCUACGGGAGGCAGCAGUGGGGAAUAUUGCACAAUGGGCGCAAGCCUGAUGCAGCGACGCCGCGUGGGGGAUGACGGCCUUCGGGUUGUAAACCCCUUUCAGUAGGGACGAAGCGCAAGUGACGGUACCUACAGAAGAAGCACCGGCCAACUACGUGCCAGCAGCCGCGGUAA
rnacentral:rRNA from 1 species